GGGGAAGUGUGUAACAUGCAGUAAACUUGAAUUUUGUGAUUUUUCGCAUUUGAGAAACAGUAGACUAUGUUUGACGGUUGAUUAUAGCCGAUAAGUGGACUUUAUUUCCUAUUCACCAUGACGAUGCGAGAGAAAUAUUACAGACGACGCAACAGAAUGUUGUCAUGGUUUCCGGAGAAUCAGUUUCUGUCAAGGAUGUCUCCCUGGAUUUAUGGGAUGUAACUGUGAGUAUCCAUGUCCUUACCUGUAUUACGGACAGAACUGUAUGUAUAAGUGUCAGUGCCCGGAGUCUGAGUGUAACCACCAAUACGGAUGUGCACCAUCUACUUCGUCUGCACAUACAGGUAUGACUUUGAAUCAAAGAAUGACGUAACUUCAUACCUGUAUAAUCUGUUUCAUUUGCCUAGAAUAUUGAUCUGGAGAUGGGAAAAUGAUUCCUAUGUAUAAUUAUUGAAAACAUUGAAAUUCGAGGGAUUACUGAGAAAA